UACGGGGGGAGCAAGCGUUGUCCGGAAUUACUGGGCGUAAAGGGCGUGUAGGCGGUAUUGUAAGUCAGAUGUAAAAGGCUACGGCUUAACCGUAGAUUGUCAUUUGAAACUGCAGUACUUGAGUGCGAGAGAGGGUAGUGGAAUUCCCAGUGUAGCGGUGAAAUGCGUAGAUAUUGGGAAGAACACCAGUAGCGAAGGCGGCUACCUGGCUCGUAACUGACGCUAAUGCGCGAAAGCGUGGGGAGCGAACAGGAUUAGAUACCCGCGUA
rnacentral:rRNA from 1 species